GAGUUUGAUCAUGGCUCAGAUUGAACGCUGGCGGCAGGCCUAACACAUGCAAGUCGAGCGGAUGACGGGAGCUUGCUCCUUGAUUCAGCGGCGGACGGGUGAGUAAUGCCUGGGAAUCUGCCUGGUAGUGGGGGACAACGUUUCGAAAGGAACGCUAAUACCGCAUACGUCCUACGGGAGAAAGCAGGGGACCUUCGGGCCUUGCGCUAUCAGAUGAGCCUAGGUCGGAUUAGCUAGUUGGUGGGGUAAUGGCUCACCAAGGCGACGAUCCGUAACUGGUCUGAGAGGAUGAUCAGUCACACUGGAACUGAGACACGGUCCAGACUCCUACGGGAGGCAGCAGUGGGGAAUAUUGGACAAUGGGCGAAAGCCUGAUCCAGCCAUGCCGCGUGUGUGAAGAAGGUCUUCGGAUUGUAAAGCACUUUAAGUUGGGAGAAGGGCAGUAAGUUAAUACCUUGCUGUUUUGACGUUUACCGACAGAAUAAAGCACCGGCUAACUCUGUGCCAGCAC
rnacentral:rRNA from 1 species